GACGAACGCUGGCGGCGUGCUUAACACAUGCCAGUCGAACGGAAAGGCCCUGCUUUUGUGGGGUGCUCGAGUGGCGAACGGGUGAGUAACACGUGAGUAACCUGCCCUUGACUUUGGGAUAACUUCAGGAAACUGGGGCUAAUACCGGAUAGGAGCUCCUGCUGCAUGGUGGGGAUUGGAAAGUUUCGGCGGUUGGGGAUGGACUCGCGGCUUAUCAGCUUGUUGGUGGGGUAGUGGCUUACCAAGGCUUUGACGGGUAGCCGGCCUGAGAGGGUGACCGGCCACAUUGGGACUGAGAUACGGCCCAGACUCCUACGGGAGGCAGCAGUGGGGAAUAUUGCACAAUGGGCGGAAGCCUGAUGCAGCAACGCCGCGUGCGGGAUGACGGCCUUCGGGUUGUAAACCGCUUUCGCCUGUGACGAAGCGUGAGUGACGGUAAUGGGUAAAGAAGCACCGGCUAACUACGUG
rnacentral:rRNA from 1 species